UACGAAGGGGGCUAGCGUUGCUCGGAAUCACUGGGCGUAAAGGGUGCGUAGGCGGGUUUUUAAGUCAGGGGUGAAAUCCUGGAGCUCAACUCCAGAACUGCCUUUGAUACUGGCGAGCUUGAGUCCGGGAGAGGUGAGUGGAACUGCGAGUGUAGAGGUGAAAUUCGUAGAUAUUCGCAAGAACACCAGUGGCGAAGGCGGCUCACUGGCCCGAUACUGACGCUGAGGCACGAAAGCGUGGGGAGCAAACAGG
rnacentral:rRNA from 1 species